rnacentral:rRNA from 1 species
AAAUUGAAGAGUUUGAUCAUGGCUCAGAUUGAACGCUGGCGGCAGGCCUAACACAUGCAAGUCGAGCGGUAGCACAGAGAGCUUGCUCUCGGGUGACGAGCGGCGGACGGGUGAGUAAUGUCUGGGAAACUGCCUGAUGGAGGGGGAUAACUACUGGAAACGGUAGCUAAUACCGCAUAACGUCGCAAGACCAAAGUGGGGGACCUUCGGGCCUCAUGCCAUCAGAUGUGCCCAGAUGGGAUUAGCUGGUAGGUGGGGUAACGGCUCACCUAGGCGACGAUCCCUAGCUGGUCUGAGAGGAUGACCAGCCACACUGGAACUGAGACACGGUCCAGACUCCUACGGGAGGCAGCAGUGGGGAAUAUUGCACAAUGGGCGCAAGCCUGAUGCAGCCAUGCCGCGUGUGUGAAGAAGGCCUUCGGGUUGUAAAGCACUUUCAGCGGGGAGGAAG